UACAAUUGAGACAGGUGGUGCAUGGUGUCGUCAGCUCGUGUCGUGAGAUGGUUGGGUUAAGUCCCGCAACGAGCGCAACCCUUGUGUUUAGUUGCAAACAGGUCAAGCUGUGCACUCUAGACAGACUGCCGUGGACAACACGGAGGAAGGUGGGGAUGACGUCAAAUCAUCAUGCCCCUUAUGAUCUGGGCUACACACGUGCUACAAUGGCCGGUACAACGGGCAGCGAAGGAGCGAUCCGGAGCGAAUCCUAAAAAGCCGGUCCCAGUUCGGAUUGCAGGCUGAAACUCGCCUACAUGAAGUUGGAGUUGCUAGUAAUCGCGAAUCAGAAUGUCGCGGUGAAUGCGUUCCGGGUCUU
rnacentral:rRNA from 1 species